rnacentral:tRNA from 1 species
GGAGAGGUGUCCGAGUGGUUUAAGGUGCCGCUCUCGAAAAGCGGUAGGCAGAAAUGCCUCGUGGGUUCGAAUCCCACCCUCUCCGCCA